rnacentral:rRNA from 1 species
UACGUAGGGGGCUAGCGUUGUCCGGAAUCAUUGGGCGUAAAGAGCGUGUAGGCGGCCCGGUAAGUCCGCUGUGAAAGUCGGGGGCUCAACCCUCGAAUGCCGGUGGAUACUGUCGGGCUAGAGUGCGGAAGAGGCGAGUGGAAUUCCUGGUGUAGCGGUGAAAUGCGCAGAGUAUCAGGAGGAAUACCGAUGGCGAAGGCAGUACUCUGGGCUAACACUGACGCUGGAGGUGCGAAAGCGUGGGGAGCAAACGGG